ensembl:lncRNA
CUCAGCUUGUUCAAUCUGCAUCACAAUUGAACUAUUAUUUAGGAUUCUCAUCUCAGAGUUAUCGUUUUUUUUUCUUCUCCCUCCUUAACACUGAAAUUGACCAUUACCUCGUCCCACACCUGUCACCUUUUGUCCUUCAGUGUCAGUUUUACACAUUACUGCUGAUUGGCCAAAAUGCGCUGCUCUGAGUUUAAUACAUUUUAAUCACAUUUAAUCCUAAUCCUCUCAGUGGACAACAUGGAGCGUAUGCAAGCAUAUGGUGAAACAAAGCUAAUUCCGCAGACGUUAAAACCGCAACUACAACUACGACAUACUGAAAAAGACGGGAGGAAUCGUGAGGAGACAUGGCGGGAUACAGGGCGCUGAACGUGUUGUGUAAAUGAUUAGUCUCAAUGUGCAGCUUAGAGGCCCUUCAUUGUCCCGUGUUCUUUUGCCGUCGACAUCGCUUCCCCACCACACUUUCUUUCUAAGACAUUUCCAGUUGGUUUAAGACUGAGCCUCCUCCAUUCCUCUCCAGAGCUGCCGACGAGGAGGACAGUCCUUGAGGAGAAGAAACAUGAUGACUCUCAGCAGUUUGUGCUCCAGAGAACAAACUGUGCUCCAGUUAACAAAUGUGUUACAUGUUGCGAGUUUAGAAUGUUCUAUUGCAAUUAGAAGGUCGCGCCUCAGACGCCGUGUAGGUACGCGUAGAAGCUUCCAGUGUCCUUGCCUGCGGACGGGGCCGUUUACACAGUGUCGUCCCGUCUCCCGCGGGUCAGAACUGAUGCUGCCGUCCCUCUCGCUGCCUCUGUCGGUGGAGACCAGUCUCAAGCAGAGAGGUCCAACUCCGUCGUGGUGGCCGGAGCCGUGAUGGGCGCCGUCCUCGCUCUCUUCCUCAUCGCGGUCUUCCUCGUCGUAAUACUCACCGCUCGCAGGACGCCGCCGCCACCGGCCUUCACUGACAAAGUGUCGCAGGUUGAUCCCCUCGUCCAUCCCUGUUAGUUUGUCAUUGAGGACACUCGCUGCAGGGAAACACGGCCACACUCAUCAAGCACGUCUCAAGGAAACAAGCCAGCUGCCGGACAAAUAUUAUUUCUGAGCCAUUUAACGAAAGCUGCAAACUAAAAAUGUAAUCUAAAUUUCAGAAAAGUCAAUCAUGUACAAAAACAGACAUUGAUACUGAUACAAUAAGUUAUAUCUUAAAAUUAAAAGCUGUAACUUGAAUAUAGAAAGUUGUAAUAAAACAGCCUUCACACAAGGAUUGUUAUUAUUUGUCUUCUUUUCUAUAAACAUAUUAUACAAGUUCAGUGACAGCGUGUACCUCUGAAUGAUUAUGUGACAAUAGGCCCCCUUCAGAUAUUGCUGACAGGCUGAAAAGAGC